AUUGCCCAAUGGACGCCAGUCUGAGGCAGCAACGCCGCGCGGAGGAUGACGGUUUUCGGAUUGUAAACUCCUUUUCUGUGUGAAGAGGAAGGACGGUAGCACAGGAAGAAGUCUCGGCUAACUACGUGCCAGCAGCCGCGGUAAAACGUAGGAGGCGAGCGUUAUCCGGAGUUACUGGGCGUAAAGCGCGCGUAGGCGGUGGUGCAAGUGGUGCGUGAAAGCUCCUGGCUCAACUGGGAGAGGCCGUACCAAACUGCAUGACUAGAGAGAGACAGAGGUCGACGGAAUUCCGGGUGGAGUGGUGAAAUGCGUAGAGAUCCGGAGGAACAUCAGUGGCGAAGGCGGUCGGCUGGGUCUCAUCUGACGCUGAGGUGCGAAAGCGUGGGUAGCGAACGGGAUUAGAAACCCCGGUAGUCCACGCCGUAAACGAUGCAGACUAGAUGUUGGUAGCCGUAGAGGUUAUGAGUGUCGAAGCAAACGCGAUAAGUCUGCCGCCUGGGGAGUACGGUCGCAAGGCUAAAUCUCAAAGGAAUUGACGGGGGCCCGCACAAGCAGCGGAGCGUGUGGUUUAAUUCGAGGCUACGCGAAGAACCUUACCUGGGCUUGACAUAGCGGUGGUAGUGACCCGAAAGGGGAGCGACAUAUGAGCCGUUACAGGUGCUGCAUGGCUGUCGUCAGCUCGUGCCGUGAGGUGUUCGGUUAAGUCCGCGAACGAGCGCAACCCUUACUGCCAGUUACAAGUGUCUGGCGGGACUGCCCGGGGGAACCGGGAGGAAGGUGGGGAUGACGUCAAGUCAGCAUGGCCUUUAUGUCCAGGGCGACACACACGCUACAAUGGCUGGUACAACGGGGAGCGAAGUCGCGAGGCGGAGCGAAUCCAAAAAAGCCAGUCUCAGUUCGGAUUGUAGGCUGCAACUCGCCUGCAUGAAGUUGGAGU
rnacentral:rRNA from 1 species